CUAAUUUAUAUAUCACAACACAUCUAUGAUGCUCUGGCUAAAACUCAUUGGGUACAACUCACCAUUGUUGACAAUGAACUUUGUAUCAAAGGUGUCAAAGACUAUAAGGUUGGGCAAGGACAAGUUGGGGAGCUAAUCGAGCUUUAAUGUUUAGCUGCUUAAUUAAAUGUCAGGGGUAAAUUCCUAGAUUGGAGAUCUGGGUGUUCAGAGAGAGGUUCAAUAAGGCUAUACAAGAUGAGUUGAUCUAAAAGGUUAGUUCACACUAGGACGCAAGCGCAAACGGAAUCGCAACACAAGUGAGAAUUGGUCAAACACAAGCGCAAGAUAAUCAAGCACUUGCGUUCUCUUGCGCAUGCGUUCCAGUAACAAUCGGAAAAUUACGUGCGCUGCGCUUGCGCUUACGUCCAAGUGAGAACCAACCUUAAGU